CAGUACCACCACCACCACCACCACCAACACCGUCUGACCAGCAGAGCUCUGGAAGUGACCGCCUCGUUAUUGAUACCGAGGAGGAGGAGGAGGAAAUGGGGGAGCCUUCAGGCCAGCCUGAUGUCACUUACCUGUACGUGGACUCUGAGCCGGAGGAGUAUAUAAUUAUUGACAGUGAUGAGGAAGGGGAGAAAAAGCCCUCUCCCCAACUUGUUCCUACACUGGAACAGGCCGCCGAGGAGGAUGAUGAAUACGAUGAGGCGGCAUUUAGUGGUAAGAAUUAUCACUGACAUUGAUUUGAUUCCACCAGAGUAGCACUUUUCAUCAGAUUU